rnacentral:rRNA from 1 species
CCUACGGGUGGCUGCAGUGAGGAAUAUUGGUCAAUGGGCGGAAUCCUGAACCAGCCAUGCCGCGUGAGGGAAGACUGCUCUACGGGUUGUAAACUUCUUUUAUGCCGGGAUAAAGUUGUUUACGUGUGGAUGUUUGCAGGUACGGCACGAAUAAGGAUCGGCUAAUUCCGUGCCAGCAGCCGCGGUAAUACGGAAGUUCCGCGCGUUAUCCGGUUUUAUUGGGUUUAAAGGGGGCGUAGGCUGUUCUUUAAGCGUGCGGUGAAAUUAUGAGGCUCAACAAAGAGUGGGCGGCGCGAACUGGAGAACUAGAGAUCGCAGACGGCAGGCGGAAUGCGUGGUGUAGCGGUGAAAUGCAUAGAUAUCACACAGAACACCGAUUGCGAAGGCAGCCUGCCGCAGCGUUACUGACGCUGAAGCACGAAAGCGCGGGUAUCGAACAGGAUUAGAUACCCUAGUAGUC